CAGAGUUGCAAACUCCCACAAACCAUCGCGAAUCUUACCCGUACGGUUGCCUCGGCGCUGGCGGUCCGGAAGGCCCUCGGGCCCCCGGAUCCUCGGGUCUCCCGCUCGCGGGAGGCUGCCCGCCGGAGUGCCGAAACUAAACUCUUGAUAUCUUAUGUCUCUCUGAGUACACUUUUAAAUAAGUCA
rnacentral:misc_RNA from 1 species